GAGGCUUGCAGUGACUUAUGCCUUACUAAGAAUUACUUUCUUUAUUCAGUCAUGGCCUUGUAUGGCUAGAAGUCCCUCAGGCUCACCAAAAAAAAAAAAAAAAAAAAAAAAAGGAAAAAAAGUUCAUGUUGUCAAGAGAACCUGGAGUCCCUCCAAAAGGUGCCCCAUUGAUUCAAAAGCCAGACACUUCUUUGUCAACAAAGGCAUCCUACGGCGAAAAGUCUGGAGGAUAAAUUGCACUUGGCUCAUCGUCGUGUAAUCAGAAAUUCAUUCAUGUGAGGAAAAAGCAGUUAAAACUUAUGGAAAAAUGCCAAAGAAAGCGGCUGUCUGACUGAUUGCUUUUUGGCAGAGGCUGAGAUCAAGAUUUACCAAGGAAAGCCCACGUAUAUGACCCAAGAGGAAGUUACAGAGCUCAAGAGCAUUACUAAGCCUGGAAACUGGAAUUUCAGUUACCUUGCAAGGUAUCAGGUGGCUCUUUCAAAUGAAUUUUUAAGUAUCUCAGUGAUGAUGAAGAAGAACAGAGACAUCAAUUAGGAUUCAGGAAGACAAGUCUUUGCAGAAAAUGCUUAGAGCAUCAAGGAUUGUUAUUAAUAUUUGAAAGUUUAAAAGAGGGUAUACUUUUCUUUAGUCAACAAAUGACAAAAGUAAAGGCACUAUUUUCACUGUUCCUUGAAGAAGCUGGGCAGUAUUCCAUUCAGACAUCUGCCCUGUGAUCGUCCCGUUUUCCUCUUUAUUUCAGUCCUUCUAAUCUCCAAGGGUGAGUCCGAAUAUUUCUUCCUGAGGCUUCUUUUAAUCAUCUCUACCCUUAAGGACAACUCCCUCCUCCAACUCCUGUAGCCCUUAUCAUCAUACCUGCCAUUUGAAAAUUUAGUACAAUGAUACAUUAUACAUUAUUGAAUAAAUAUAUGUUCAUUCUCUGCAAGUAUGUUA